UUUUCAGUGUGCUUCAUGCAUCAUAAUUCUAUUACAAUUACAAUUGCAAGUCUGUGUCCCACCAGUCUCAGUGUCAUGACACUCAGGGGGACUGACUGUCGGUUUGAGGCAAUACAGGUAGGGGCUGCUGUGCUAUCGCUUCAUCUGUGGAUGACUCGGUUCCUCCUUCACUCUCACU